rnacentral:rRNA from 1 species
GUGAGGAAUAUUGCGCAAUGGAGGCAACUCUGACGCAGCCAUGCCGCGUGCAGGAAGAAGGCGCUACGCGUUGUAAACUGCUUUUAACCGGGAAGAAACCCCAGGACGUGUCCUGGGUUGACGGUACCGGAGGAAUAAGCACCGGCUAACUUCGUGCCAGCAGCCGCGGUAAUACGAAGGGUGCAAGCGUUAUCCGGAUUCAUUGGGUUUAAAGGGUGCGUAGGCGGAGCGUUAAGUCAGUGGUGAAAUCCUGCAGCUUAACUGUAGACUUGCCAUUGAUACUGGCGCUCUUGAGUGCGCUUGAAGUGGGCGGAAUGUGCCGUGUAGCGGUGAAAUGCUUAGAUAUGGCGCAGAACACCAAUUGCGAAGGCAGCUCACUAAGGCGAUACUGACGCUGAGGCACGAAAGCGUGGGGAUCGAACAGGAUUAGAUACCCUAGUAGUCC